GUACCUCCCAGCUCCCCACCUAUGGGAGAUCUUCUCCCCCAUAAUUGCAGAUAAUAUAACACAAGCGCUCAUGUUCCUCUCGCACUUCAUCAGAGACAUACACUAGCCACUUCACUCCGACAAAGGAGGGAACACCGUCGACUUCCACUGGUACGCAAGGAAGACUGUUUUACACUAU